AUGGAAGCCCGAGGCAAGGACAGAGACAGGGUGCACGCGACGCUGGUCGCGGAGGAGGGAAGCAGCGAGGCUGGCAACAGAGUAGCCAAUGGCCCAAGAGGUGUACCCCUUGAGGCCGAUCACCUCGUAGGCGCCGCCCACCACGGCGCGCCGGAUCCCCUCCAGCGCCGCCUCGUCGAAGUUCCGGUGGCUGUCGCGCAGCGACUUGAACGCCGGCAUCCCGCCCACGCUGAUGCUUGA
rnacentral:rRNA from 1 species